rnacentral:rRNA from 1 species
CAGCCGCCACGGUAAUACGGAGGGUGCAAGCGUUAAUCGGAAUUACUGGGCGUAAAGCGCACGCAGGCGGUCUGACAAGUCAGAUGUGAAAUCCCCGGGCUUAACCUGGGAACUGCAUUUGAAACUGUCAGGCUGGAGUCUUGUAGAGGGGGGUAGAAUUCCAGGUGUAGCGGUGAAAUGCGUAGAGAUCUGGAGGAAUACCGGUGGCGAAGGCGGCCCCCUGGACAAAGACUGACGCUCAGGUGCGAAAGCGUGGGGAGCAAACAGGAUUAGAUACCCGAGUAGUCCCUGUCUCUUAUAU